GACUCUCGGCAACGCAUAUCUUGGCUCUUGCAUCGAUGAAGAACGUAGUGAAAUGCGAUACUUGGUCUGAAUUGUAGAAUCCCAUGAACCAUCGAGUCUUUGAUCGCAAGUUGCGCCCAAAGCCACUAGGUCGAGGGCACACCCGCCUAGGGGCGA